CAGUUUAGGUAAACUCUCGAGUAUUUGUUUUACAGCCAAGAGACCAGUCUUUUUCCUUUAUAAAAGAACUGCCUGCUGGCUGCACAUUAACUACCUGUCAUACUGUAGCCCAAGUUAACUUUUCACAAGGAAAGCAAUGAUCAUGGGGCAAAAUGCCAAGUCCAAAGGCAGCUCUAAUAAUAAAUAUUACAGCUACCAGUCUGAAGAUGAUAAAGUUUGCAUGAUGGAUCCUGAAGAAAAAACUCCGGGUUGUGGAGUGCAGUCAAAAACGAAAAAAAUAAUAAAGUGCUUUUCCAAGAAACUCCACCAUGAAUCUAGCAUGCCUUCUGCAGAAGGACUUCAAGACGAAGAGAACAAAUAUGAGGAAAGAAAAGGAUUGGGAAAAGAGAAAACAAAACAAACAUCUAAAAAAGUUCACUUUGCAUACCUGUCAGAUAACUAUGAACCAUUGGUUGAAGGAGAAAGUCAGCCAAAAGAAAGCAAACAGGAGAAAAAGUACAAAGCAAAGCAAAAAUGCAAGAAGUACAGAAAGAAUACUGAUUUCCAGUUCAUGGGACCUGGAGUUGGGUUCAUGGAAUUUGCAUGAUUUUCACACCCCAAAUAACAAUUAAGUGAAUUCCCACAAUGGGACUAAAGGAAUGUUGGAAAGGCUGCACAUAGAGGCUGGAAAUACUUUGUUGCCGGAUUACAGGGGCUUGCAACAGCAUAUUCUUCUCCCUGGAUGCUGAUCCCUGUAUUGACUACAAGUGUCCACAGAUAGAAGACUAAAGGACUGCUGAUACUGCCUGCCAGGAUCUGACAUGAUUGACAAAAUAAUUUCUGACAUACAAUCAUAAUAUGGUGACAACAAAAUAAAUAGUCUCCACAAUGA